GCUGAUAUUAUAAUUCUCAUACACGAUUUAGUAGGGAUUAAAUUUAUAUAAAUUAGUGAAUAGUUAUAGUUAUUUAAACUAAGUCUGGAAAAUUAUGUGCCAGCAUCAGCGGUCAUACAUAAGGGCUAAGCUUUUUUUUACUACAAUACUUAAAAUUGAAAUAACUUUCAACAAGAAAUUAUUUAUGGUGAAAUAAAAUAAUUUUAAUAUUUUAAAUUGGACGUUAAUAAGCUACUAAAUAAACCAGGAUUUGAUACCCUGUUAUUGUAGCUUACAAAAAUUGUAGAAAACUACCUUAUUAUUAGGGAAAUUUAAAAAUCAUGACAGUUAGAAUUUCUUAUCAGAUGAAUAUGUCUUUUAAUAUGAUACUCCCCAAAAAAUCUGACUUAAACUUGAAUAUUUUACACUCUUCCCACCGCCGUUUUGGGUAUAAUAAAUUUUUACUAGUAAUUGGACUAACUUAAUGUUAGACUAAAUUAAUCAGGUAAAGGUGAAGGUUAUGUUUAAGGUGAGAUGUAUUACAUUUUAAUUAAAAGUGGAAUAAUUAUUGAAAAUAGUUAUGAAAAUGAAUUUGAAAGUAAUAAAUUUUAAUAAUAAAUUUAUGAAUAUGAACUUUCUUUUGUACAGAUCGCCCGUCGCCCCCAAGCCAUUCUCGGGGUAAGUCGAAACACAGUAGAAGUACUGGAAAGUGUUUCUAUAUAUUAUUUA
rnacentral:rRNA from 1 species